rnacentral:rRNA from 1 species
UGGGGGAUAUUGCACAAUGGGCGAAAGCCUGAUGCAGCGACGCCGCGUGGGGGAUGAAGUCCUUCGGGUUGUAAACUUCUUUUGCUCUGAACAAGGCGCACCAUGGGGUGUGUUGAGUGUAGGGGUUGAUUAGCGCCGGCUAACUACGUGCCAGCAGCCGCGGUAAUACGUAGGGCGCGAGCGUUGUCCGGAAUUAUUGGGCGUAAAGGGCUUGUAGGUGGCUGGUUGCGUCUGUCGUGAAAGCUCAUGGCUUAACUGUGGGUUUGCGGUGGGUACGGGCUGGCUUGAGUGCAGUAGGAGAGGCUGGAAUUCCUGGUGUAGCGGUGGAAUGCGCAGAUAUCAGGAGGAAUACCGGUGGCGAAGGCGGGUCUCUGGGCUGUUACUGACACUGAGGAGCGAAAGCAUGGGGAGCGAACAGG